GACGAACGCUGGCGGCGUGCUCAACACAUGCAAGUCGAACGGUGAAGCGCCUUCCUUUUUGGUGGGUGUGGAUGAGUGGCGAACGGGUGAGUAACACGUGAGUAACCUGCCCCCUUCUUCUGGAUAACCGCAUGAAAGUGUCGCUAAUACGGGAUAUUCUGGGUCUGUCGCAUGAUGGGUCUGGGAAAGAUAUUGUUUCGGUGGGGGAUGGGCUCGCGGCCUAUCAGCUUGUUGGUGGGGUGAUGGCCUACCAAGGCGGUGGCGGGUAGCCGGGCUGAGAGGGUGGACGGUCACACUGGGACUGAGACACGGCCCAGACUCCUAAGGGAGGCAGGAGUGGGGAAUAUUGCAAGAUGGGCGCAAGCCUGAUGCAGCGACGCCGCGUGAGGGAUGGAGGCCUUCGGGUUGUGAACCUCUUUCGCCAGUGAAGCAGGCCUGCCUCGUUUGUGGGUGGGUUGACAGUAGCUGGAUAAGAAGCGCCGGCUAACUACGU
rnacentral:rRNA from 1 species